GGGGCGUGGGGAUUGCCUCAGUAGCGGCGAGUGAAGCGGCAAGAGCUCAGAUUUGAAAUCGUGCUUUGCGGCACGAGUUGUAGAUUGCAGGUUGGAGUCUGUGUGGAAGGCGGUGUCCAAGUCCCUUGGAACAGGGCGCCCAGGAGGGUGAGAGCCCCGUGGGAUGCCGGCGGAAGCAGUGAGGCCCUUCUGACGAGUCGAGUUGUUUGGGAAU
rnacentral:rRNA from 1 species